AGACACUGGGUGAACUGACACCUAUUACCUCAUAGGUAACCAGGUUCCAUUCUUUCUACUAACUUGAUUGGUGGGGUGGGUGUUUCUUUUCUUCCUGUCCAUACCAUAGGUGUCUUAUUUGAUAUAGUUCACUUAUUCAAUAAGGAUUACCUUUCUUCACACGAAAGGACCUUCUUUGGACAAGAGUAUUAUGAGUUAAGACUUUAUCCUACUGAAACAUCCAAACAAGGUCUCACAGCUCCACAGCUGUAAAAUCUAUAAUAAUUAGGCAAAAUCAUUUUUUUGUCAGGUCACUAAAA
rfam:Myotis lucifugus cont2.22063, whole genome shotgun sequence.